rnacentral:tRNA from 1 species
AAAAAUUUAGUUUAAAUUUAAAACAUUAACUUGUCAAGUUAAAAAUAUUAAAAUUAAUAAUUUUUA